UCAGGUAGGAAUACCCGGUGAACUUAAGCAUUUCAAUAAGCGGAGGUUUCUG
rnacentral:rRNA from 1 species